CCAGAGUGGCUGGGGAAGCUCAGCCAGAUGGGUGGGGUAUAAAUAACAAAUUAUUAUUAUUAUUAUUAUUAUUAUUAUUAUUACCCCGCCUAUCUGGUUGGGCUUCCCCAGCCACUCUAGGC